rnacentral:rRNA from 1 species
ACGGAAGGCAGCAGUGGGGAAUAUUGGACAAUGGGGGAAACCCUGAUCCAGCGACGCCGCGUGAGUGAAGAAGUAUUUCGGUAUGUAAAGCUCUAUCAGCAGGAAAGAUAAUGACGGUACCUGACUAAGAAGCACCGGCUAAAUACGUGCCAGCAGCCGCGGUAAUACGUAUGGUGCAAGCGUUAUCCGGAUUUACUGGGUGUAAAGGGAGCGUAGACGGCAUGGCAAGCCAGAUGUGAAAGGCAGGGGCUCAACUCCUGGACUGCAUUUGGAACUGUCAAGCUAGAGUAUCGGAGAGGUAAGUGGAAUUCCUAGUGUAGCGGUGAAAUGCGUAGAUAUUAGGAGGAACACCAGUGGCGAAGGCGGCUUGCUGGACGAUAACUGACGUUGAGGCUCGAAAGCGUGGGGAGCAAACAGGAUUAGAUACCCUGGUA